rnacentral:rRNA from 1 species
UAGGGAAUCUUCGGCAAUGGACGAAAGUCUGACCGAGUAACGCCGCGUGAGUGAAGAAGGUUUUCGGAUCGUAAAACUCUGUUGGUAGAGAAGAACGUUGGUGAGAGUGGAAAGCUCAUCAAGUGACGGUAACUACCCAGAAAGGGACGGCUAACUACGUGCCAGCAGCCGCGGUAAUACGUAGGUCCCCGAGCGUUGUCCGGAUUUAUUGGGCGUAAAGCGAGCGCAGGUGGUUUAUUAAGUCUGGUGUAAAAGGCAGUGGCUCAACCAUUGUAUGCAUUGGAAACUGGUAGACUUGAGUGCAGGAGAGGGGAGUGGAAUUCCAUGUGUAGCGGUGAAAUGCGUAGAUAUAUGGAGGAACACCGGUGGCGAAAGCGGCUCUCUGGCCUGUAACUGACACUGAGGCUCGAAAGCGUGGGGAGCAAACAGGAUUAGAUAG